UACGUAGGAGGCAAGCGUUGUCCGGAAUUACUGGGCGUAAAGCGCGUGUAGGUGGUGGGACAAGUCUGCUGUGAAAGCGCCUGGCUUAACCGGGCGAGGUCGGCGGAAACUGUCCGACUCGAGGACGGUAGAGGGGGGUGGAAUUCCCGGUGUAGUGGUGAAAUGCGUAGAGAUCGGGAGGAACACCAGUGGCGAAGGCGGCCCUCUGGCCCGAUACUGACGCUGAGGUGCGAAAGCGUGGGGAGCAAACAGG
rnacentral:rRNA from 1 species